GGGGAAUAUUGGACAAUGGGCGCAAGCCUGAUCCAGCAAUGCCGCGUGUGUGAUGAAGGCCUGCGGGUUGUAAAGCACUUUCAGUGGGGAAGAACGGAUACGGGCCAAUACCCCGCAUCACUGACGUUACCCACAGAAGAAGCACCGGCUAACUCCGUGCCAGCAGCCGCGGUAAUACGGAGGGUGCAAGCGUUAAUCGGAAUCACUGGGCGUAAAGCGCACGUAGGCGGCCCGCUAAGUCAGAUGUGAAACCCCUGGGCUCAACCUGGGAAUGGCAUUUGAUACUGGCAAGCCCGAGUCCGAGAGAGGGGGGUGGAAUUCCAGGUGUAGCGGUGAAAUGCGUAGAUAUCUGGAGGAACACCGGUGGCGAAGGCGGCCCCCUGGCUCGUGACUGACGCUGAGGUGCGAAAGCGUGGGUAGCAAAC
rnacentral:rRNA from 1 species